UUUUUUUUUAGAUUUUUUAUUACAUUAAAUCUUACGUCACGUGUAUGAAAUAUUAAAUGAAGAUAAAAAUUAACUAAUUGUAUAAUUUAUCUGUAAUUGUAGCAUAAAUCUUUUAAAACUUGUUAGUCUAUGAUUGAAUAAUAUUUAUUAAAUACAAACGGAAAUAUUACGGUAUGUAUUUUGUAAAAAAGUUGGAAUUAAACUCCCGUCACGACCAGCAGACCACGAGGAGGAAGUCGUCACCCAGCGGGCCUCCUUGGCUGCCUAUCUGUUAGGCAGCUGUGCGCGCGCUGCUCUGAUCGAGAAGGAAGCAUGGGUCGAUCCACAGUAUCCAUCGGAGCAGCGGGUUAAGCAGGCAAUUUAAAAUGGAUUAACCGUAGCUCCUGUGUAUACUAAAUAGGUCGCUGGAUUGGCACCGGUUCGAUCCAUGGCUGAAC
rnacentral:lncRNA from 1 species